UUUCUUUAGUCCUUCUUUCUUGCUCUCUUUUCUUCCUUUACUCUUUCUGUAAUCUCUUGAGGGUAACUUAAAACCUGUUGCAUUUUUCUUAACUGGUGUAGAUUGGUGUGUGUUCGGCACUCUGUAAAAUGAUUCUUCUGCUUGGUUGUACGUUGCUCCUGGAACCUUUUGUCAAAAUGCCUAUUUUCUCUUUAAAUUAAAAGAAGUCUCUUAGGAAACACAUGUAGCAUGUCCACUUUAUGCAAAUUCAAGGUAUUAAAGAACUAAAAGGCUUUACAAAAAAUUAGGUGGUGAAUUAUUUUGGAGCCUUAAAUAUAAGUAAAAUUCCUGGGCAGCUUGCAGCUUUGACCUAGGACUUUACAGAAGAAAAUUCACACUGCAUAAAGAAUGUUGCUGAGAAUGCCUUGGGGAAACUAUUUCUACCUCAUCACCAUGACAAUAUUCCUUAUCCCUGAGUGGGUUACUGUGAAGGGGAGAAUUUCUACUCACAGAUUUAAUAAGCCUCAGAUCACUCAGCAUUCUAGAUUCGAGGAUGGUUACAGACUAACUGUUCCCAAGAAGAGUUCUUAAAGAAGUUCUACAGUCUACAGUUGCCUGAACUUUGGUGAAUUGACUCAAAGAACCACGAUCAAAUAUAAUUGUCAUCUGGCUACUAUAUGCCUGACCAUUAACAUCUUUCUGAACAGGGCACUUCUUCAACAUUCUUUCUGAUCACAUCCACUCUUUCAUAUCUAAAAUAAAUUUCAUUUGCACAUGAUUUU